ACUUUUCUCUCAAGCUGCCGGCACCCCCGGCUGCCGCAUUUCCAAUGCAGGGGAGCGGCGAGGCUCCGGGCUGGCCAUCUGCACGCGGAGAUUGACAGCAGUCCCGGAAGGCGGUGGACCAGGGAUACAAGAAACGAGACUCCUAGCCCUUGAGAUGCUCUUCAUGUGGGGUCAUUACUUAGGGAUCAGCAAUUUGCUAAAGAUGAACAGAUUCUAAGAAGAUGGUUUUCCAGCAGCAACCAAUUUUAAAUCUGGACUGUGCACCAGGCACCUCUUGGAUGGACAGCCCUGAAACAUCUUUCAUGCAACUCCUCAGGCAGCCCAGAAACAGCCAGGAACCAUUCGCCAGGAGCUGUGGCCAACUUAAUAACUCAUCCUUGUAUUGGUUUCCAUCCUCUGUCCUUCAUCCGUCUUGUCUUUUACUCCUACUUGCUGGAUCACACAUCCCAAUAAAUUUUUGCACUCAAGCGUUUGUCUCAGGAUCUGCUGUCCGGAGGACCAAGACUAAGUUCAAGUCAUAUUUUUUUUUUUUUGAGAUGGAAUCUCACUCUGUUGCCCA
rnacentral:lncRNA from 1 species